rnacentral:rRNA from 1 species
GAUGAACGCUGGCGGCGUGCCUAAUACAUGCAAGUCGAGCGAGCAGAUGAGGAGCUUGCUCCUCUGACGUUAGCGGCGGACGGGUGAGUAACACGUGGAUAACCUACCUAUAAGACUGGGAUAACUUCGGGAAACCGGAGCUAAUACCGGAUAUUAUAUUGAACCGCAUGGUUCAAUAGUGAAAGACGGUUUUGCUGUCACUUAUAGAUGGAUCCGCGCCGCAUUAGCUAGUUGGUAAGGUAACGGCUUACCAAGGCAACGAUGCGUAGCCGACCUGAGAGGGUGAUCGGCCACACUGGAACUGAGACACGGUCCAGACUCCUACGGGAGGCAGCAGUAGGGAAUCUUCCGCAAUGGGCGAAAGCCUGACGGAGCAACGCCGCGUGAGUGAUGAAGGUCUUCGGAUCGUAAAACUCUGUUAUUAGGGAAGAACAAAUGUGUAAGUAACUAUGCACGUCUUGACGGUACCUAAUCAGAAAGCCACGGCUAACUACGUG